CCUACGGGAGGCAGCAGUAGGGAAUAUUGGGCAAUGGGAGAGAGCCUGACCCAGCCAUGCCGCGUGCAGGAUGAAGGCUUUCUGAGUCGUAAACUGCUUUUAUCGGGGAAGAAAAAAGGGGAUGCGUCCUCUACUGACGGUACCCGAUGAAUAAGCACCGGCUAACUCCGUGCCAGCAGCCGCGGUAAU
rnacentral:rRNA from 1 species